rnacentral:rRNA from 1 species
AACGAACGCUGGCGGCAUGCCUAACACAUGCAAGUCGAACGAGACCUUCGGGCCUAGUGGCGCACGGGUGCGUAACGCGUGGGAACCUGCCCUUAGGUUCGGAAUAACUCCCCGAAAGGGGUGCUAAUACCGGAUAAUGUCCUCGGACCAAAGAUUUAUCGCCUUUGGAUGGGCCCGCGUUGGAUUAGCUAGUUGGUAGGGUAAAAGCCUACCAAGGCGACGAUCCAUAGCUGGUCUGAGAGGAUGAUCAGCCACACUGGGACUGAGACACGGCCCAGACUCCUACGGGAGGCAGCAGUGGGGAAUAUUGGACAAUGGGCGAAAGCCAGAUCCAGCAAUGCCGUGUGAGUGAUGAAGGCCUUAGAGUUGUAAAGCUCUUUUACCCGCGAUGAUAAUGACAGUACCGGGAGAAUAAGCUCCGGCUAACUCCGUG